UGCACCCAGUUGAGAUGUGCACCAUUACUGGCUGAGGAGAAACAGAGCUUUCCUGUCAUAUGUCAGUGCAUGGAUACUGUCACUUCUGUGGUGCAUCUGAGGCCUGCCUGUCAAAGACAAGAGCAUGAAGGAGCUGCACUGAUAGUGCUUUCCUCUUGCAUGCAUCCUGCACGGGGCAGAUCAGCUGUGUGCUUCCUUGUGAUGUGCUCGAGCCGAGUAUUAGAGAAGGAUGGAAAAUUUGUCCAAACAUUGCCACUUUAACAGAAAGCUGGGAAUUUGUAGCAGAGUGGAA
rnacentral:lncRNA from 1 species